AGAGUUUGAUCCUGGCUCAGAUUGAACGCUGGCGGCAUGCUUUACACAUGCAAGUCAAACGGCAGCAUGACCUAGCUUGCUAGGUUGAUGGCGAGUGGCGAACGGGUGAGUAAUACAUCGGAACGUACCCAAUAGUGGGGGAUAACGCAGCGAAAGCUGUGCUAAUACCGCAUACGUCCUACGGGAGAAAGCGGGGGAUCUUCGGACCUCGCGCUAAUGGAGCGGCCGAUGUCAGAUUAGCUAGUUGGUGGGGUAAAGGCCCACCAAGGCGACGAUCUGUAGCUGGUCUGAGAGGAUGAUCAGCCACACUGGGACUGAGACACGGCCCAGACUCCUACGGGAGGCAGCAGUGGGGAAUUUUGGACAAUGGGGGCAACCCUGAUCCAGCCAUGCCGCGUGAGUGAAGAAGGCCUUCGGGUUGUAAA
rnacentral:rRNA from 1 species